CGAUGGUUCUUGUUUAGGUGAACCCGAACCAUAAAGGCCAGAUGUGAAUAUGUUUCAGGCAUUAGUAGUUGGAUUAUCAGGUGUGGGAACAUGGUGGUUUUGUAGACACAAGUAACCUUCCAAUUAGCUGUACAAGCCAGCAAGUGGACUCCAUGGUGUUCAGGUAAAAACAUUAUAGGUCUUUAAUGCUUUGUUUAUACAUGGCAAAGUUUAGAUCUUACAGUAGGAGUUUGAAUGUGUAAAACAUCACAGGUCGAGAUGAUUAGUUAAACAUAGGCCAUCAUGUCAAAAUUUGUAGUUUUUUUUUGUUUAUGGAAACCAAGUUCUUAAUUGAUUAAUGCACUUGUUCACUAUGGAUA